AUUAUCGUCGUCUUUUUUUUCUCUGGCGAAGGUAAGCCCAAUUAGCGCCUCCAGCAAAGAUCGUCAUCGUCAAAAAUCAUGAUCGUUGCUGGGUAGGUUCUUCAUCUGAGUGGGUUUCGAUUGGUGUAAAUCCAGUGCUCGAAUUCCGUUGUUCACUAUGCCUUGUUUUGUAUUAGUUGAGGGAUUGCUCGAUAGGGUUUCUACACCCACUAGCUGAGAUUUUCACUAUGUGCCCCAUUUUCCCUGGUGAAAGGUAAUCUAACUCUAUAACUGACAAAUACAAAUAGUUCUUGUGAUAGUGUUAACCAUUAAGCCUAAAAGCCUGCUAUUAGAAUGGUCAUUGCACAUAUUUAGUAGAAAAGUGAUAAUGACACCUCAUAGAUAGAAUGGUUGUUUUAUGUGAUGCCGUGGGAGUCAUCCCUUGUUAUUUACUCAUGAGUUGCUUAACUUUGUAGUGCAUUUGAAAUACAUUGUGCUGAAUUACCAUUCUAGGUUGGAGUUAAAUUGCAAAAUCUAAUUAGUCCCAUUUAAUGUGUUGAGCUAAAACUACUUGAGGAAGGUUGUCCUGCUACAUCUUAUAUUCCUCCUUUCUCUUAUGUGGCUUGUGAAAUAGAUCAGUCAUACAAGAUAUACUGUGUUCUUGGUACACUGGAUUGGACUACCUUUCCUGAAGCAAAUAACUUUGCUUUGCUUAUUAGUAUUAGUUAUUCAAAGAUUAUGCCUACCAAUCUCUCAAACCUCAUUCCAAAUGCUAGCUUGGAAGCUAUAGAUCUGAUAAAGCAACUUUGUUCCUGGGACCUACUAAGGAGACCAACUGCAAACCAAUGCUUGCUACAUCCAUUUUCUCAGGUAAUGUGUGAUCUGAU